UACGUAGGACCCGAGCGUUAUCCGGAAUUACUGGGCGUAAAGAGUUGCGUAGGUGGUUUGUUAAGUGAAUAGUGAAAUCGUGCGGCUCAACCGUAUACACAUUAUUUAAACUGGCAGACUUGAGUAUGGUAGAGGUCACUGGAAUUCCAAGUGUAGGAGUGAAAUCCGUAGAUAUUUGGAGGAACACCGAUGGCGUAGGCAGGUGACUGGACCAUUACUGACACUGAGGCACGAAAGCGUGGGGAGCAAACGGG
rnacentral:rRNA from 1 species